rnacentral:rRNA from 1 species
UGCGUAGGCGGCCCUUUAAGUCGGAUGUGAAAGCCCGCGGCUUAACCGCGGAAUGGCAUUCGAAACUGGAGGGCUUGAGUGUCGGAGAGGGUAGUGGAAUUCCCAGUGUAGCGGUGAAAUGCGUAGAUAUUGGGAGGAACACCAGUGGCGAAGGCGACUACCUGGACGAUAACUGACGCUGAGGCACGAAACGCUAGGGGAGCAAACAG